ACUGACAUAACUUAAGCACAUUUAAAGUGGAAACAUAUACAUAUAUAUAAAAAAAACAUACAAACAUAUAACUACAAAGAAUACUAAUAUUUGCAGUAUGGUAUUGCGAAUCGCUUUUACUGCUUUUAAUACAAAAUAAUAUUAAUAAUCUCAGUUAAAAACCCAAAAGAAGGCAGUUUUUAUAAUUUUCUUUCUUAAUUUUGUAUAUUAAUUACUUUAGGUUAUUCCAUAAACUGUGUUGUUGUGGUUUUAAUAAUGUUUGAAAAAUGAUAUUGAAAACUCGAUGACCAAGUUAUAUUAUAUUGUUCCAUCUGUUUUUGUAAACAAAAUGACUGCAGAACAGGGCAUCACUACAUUAACGUAUUAACAUUUACCUUUAAAUUUGUAUUUUUUUACAAUUUUGUAUUUGUAUACGGGUGGUGCGGUGGUCUAGUGGUAACUCACUGGUCUACCAAUCCAGAGGUCCCCGGUUCAAUUCCUGGCCGGGGCACUGGGAAAUUUCAGAAGUGCUUCAAGUGUUUCCCACCCAUCUAGAGAUGUACUGGUAUGAAACCCAGUAAAGAAGAUGACUUCACAACAUGACAUCCGAGACUGCAGGGACGAAAUGACUCACGCCAGCAGAGGAAGCCAAGACACAAUACAAGAAUUUCCAGCGGCUUACCUGCUUAAAACCUGGGUAGCAGAGCAAUGAGUAUAUCCCAGGAGCAUUUGCAGUCACAGCAAGUGAACCAGCGGCAGUCAUCGUCUUUAGAUUCCGAGAUCCCCAUGCUUCACAACCCUCAGUCUAUGAACAUCAUGCAGAGCAAACCUU